GUGUAAAGCUAUUCUGAUUAUUGAUACUUGAUAUAAUUUUUUUCUCUGUUUCAGCUUAUAAGAUUUUACCCCCUUUAUCUCAGGUGCUCUGACAUAUCCCCAUAUGGGAUCACUGCCACCAGUAGUUCUGGGUGCCUGAUAGGAAAUAAAUCCCCACAGGGAUAGUUUUUUUUUUUUUUUUCCCAUGCAAAGCCAAGAUGCUACAGGGCCAGACAGCUGCACUGCACAUCCAAGUGGCAAGCUAGGCCUUUUUUGUUAAGCUCCUUUCACUUUGUCUGUGGGCAAGUCCAGUUUGACCCACUAAAAAUAGGCACAUCAUACCAGAAAAUCAUCAGCCUCUAGUGUUCGGGCAUCCAGACUCCCAGAAGAAAAACAGGUGUUCAGUGCCCUAGGCAGGCAAAACCAUCAUAUCAACAUAGGGAAUAUUUCACAAGCCAAGUUCCCAGACUUUAGCCAGGAGCCAGCCCUGUGAGCAGGUCCUUCUAAAGAUCAGUUCUGCUGUGUUAACACUUUCCUACAGGUUACCUUUACUGGUGCUCUUUAUUUCUUUGUGUGGAUUUGAGUUACCAUAGAGUGUCCUUUAUUUUCUUGGAGCUGAGCUUUAAGUUAGAUCAAAUAGCAACAGCUGUCUGGGGAUAGGGCUUUUGGUAGAGCUCCAAAACAGUUCAUCCCCUUGGGUAGCUGUGAGGCUACCAGUUUUCAUGGAGCUGGGGAGCCAGUGGGAGAGCAGGAAGAGUAGUAGUAGUGCCAAGUGAACCAUGACCUGGCUGUUCUUAGUGAGGUUUACUAGUUUUUUUUUUCGUGUGUGUGUGUGUGUGUGUGUGUGUGACAGAGUUUUGCUCUUUUAGCCCAGGCUAGAGUGCAAUGGCACAAUCUUGGCUCACUACAACCUCUGUGUCCCAGGUUCAAGCGGUUUUCCUGCCUCAGCCUCCUAAGUAGCUCGGAUUAUAGGCGCCUGUCAUCAUGCCUUGCUAAUUUUUGUAUUUUUAGUAGAGACAGGGUUUCACCAUGUUGGCCAGGCUGGUCCUGAACUCCUGACCUCAGGUGAUACAUCCGCCUCGGCCCCCCAAAGCGCUGGGAUUAUAGGCAUGAGUCACCACGUCUGGCAUAGUUUUUCUUGAAUAAAUGAUUUUUAAUUGAUUGUUUGCCUUUGGUUAAUUUCUAAAGUCGUGAAAUGAUUGAUUUUGAUAAUUUUUGAUUUUGCCAGUAUUUUCAUUACUUUUUGGGGGAAGAGGAUUUACUGAGGUCCUUCCUCUCACUCUGUCAUUUCAGAAGUCCAGCCUAAAAGCCUUUCUUUUAAAACUGCAAAAAAGUACAGAAAAUCAUAAUUUUAACAAACACUCUUGUACUUCCUUCCCAGUAUUAGCAAAUAUUAACAUUUUGUCAUUUUUUUAAAAAUAAAAGAAACAGGCCAGGCACGGUUUUAAAUUUUCUACUGUGAACUCCUCAAUGAGAGUUGGUUUUCCCUAGAAGUUCUGUGAUGUC
rnacentral:lncRNA from 10 species